ACGCACGCUGGCGGCAUGCCUAACACCUGCAAGUCGAACGCGACCUUCGGGUCUAGUGGCGCACGGGUGCGUAACGCGUGGGAACCUGCCCUUAGGUUCGGAAUAACUCCCCGAAAGGGGUGCUAAUACCGGAUAAUGUCUUCGGACCAAAGAUUUAUCGCCUUUGGAUGGGCCCGCGUUGGAUUAGCUAGUUGGUAGGGUAAAAGCCUACCAAGGCGACGAUCCAUAGCUGGUCUGAGAGGAUGAUCAGCCACACUGGGACUGAGACACGGCCCAGACUCCUACGGGAGGCAGCAGUGGGGAAUAUUGGACAAUGGGCGAAAGCCUGAUCCAGCAAUGCCGCGUGAGUGAUGAAGGCCUUAGGGUUGUAAAGCUCUUUUACCCGGGAUGAUAAUGACAGUACCGGGAGAAUAAGCUCCGGCUAACUCCGUG
rnacentral:rRNA from 1 species